rnacentral:rRNA from 1 species
GACGAACGCUGGCGGCGUGCUUAACACAUGCAAGUCGAACGGAAAGGCCCUGCUUUUGUUGGUUGCUCGAGUGGCGAACGGGUGAGUAACACGUGAGUAACCUGCCCUUGACUUUGGGAUAACUUCAGGAAACUGGGGCUAAUACCGGAUAGGAGCUCCUGCUGCAUGGUGGGGGUUGGAAAGUUUCGGCGGUUGGGGCUGGACUCGCGGGUUAUCAGCUUGUUGGUGGGGUAGUGGCUUACCAAGGCUUUGACGGAUAGCCGGCCUGAGAGGGGGACCGGCGACAUUGGGACUGAGAGACGGACCAGAAGCCUACGGGAGGCAGCAGUGGGAAGCAUGGCACAGUGGGCGGAAGCCUGAUGCAGAAACGCCGCGUGCGGGAUGACGGCCUUCGGGUUGUAAACCGCUUUCGACGGAGACGAAGAGUGAGUGACGGUAAUGGGUAAAGAAGCACCGGCUAACUACGUG